rnacentral:rRNA from 1 species
CCUACGGGAGGCAGCAGUGAGGAAUAUUGGUCAAUGGACGCAAGUCUGAACCAGCCAUGCCGCGUGCAGGAUGACGGCUCUAUGAGUUGUAAACUGCUUUUGUACGAGGGUAAAUCCCGAUACGUGUAUCGGGUUGACCGUAUCGUACGAAUAAGGAUCGGCUAACUCCGUGCCAGCAGCCGCGGUAAUACGGAGGCUCCGAGCGUUAUCCGGAUUUAUUGGGUUUAAAGGGUGCGUAGGCGGUUUGUUAAGUUAGAGGUGAAAUGUCGGGGCUGAACCCAACAACUGCCUGUAAUACUGUUAGACUAGAGUAUAGGAGAGGUAGGUGGAAUGUUUGGUGUAGGGGGAAAAUACGUAGAGAUCA